GAUGAACGCUGGCGGCGUGCCUAAUACAUGCAAGUCGAGCGAACAGACGAGGAGCUUGCUCCUCUGACGUUAGCGGCGGACGGGUGAGUAACACGUGGAUAACCUACCUAUAAGACUGGGAUAACUUCGGGAAACCGGAGCUAAUACCGGAUAAUAUAUUGAACCGCAUGGUUCAAUAGUGAAAGACGGUUUUGCUGUCACUUAUAGAUGGAUCCGCGCCGCAUUAGCUAGUUGGUAAGGUAACGGCUUACCAAGGCAACGAUGCGUAGCCGACCUGAGAGGAUGAUCGGCCAAACUGGAACUGAGACACGGUCCAGACUCCUACGGGAGGCAGCAGUAGGGAAUCUUCCGCAAUGGGCGAAAGCCUGACGGAGCAACGCCGCGUGAGUGAUGAAGGUCUUCGGAUCGUAAAACUCUGUUAUUAGGGAAGAACAAAUGUGUAAGAAACUAUGCACGUCUUGACGGUACCUAAUCAGAAAGCCACGGCUAACUACGUG
rnacentral:rRNA from 1 species